rnacentral:lncRNA from 1 species
AAAAAUUAAUGUAUAAAAAUAAUUUAAAAAUAUAAAAAAAUAAUAAGUUUUUUAAAAAAUGAUUUUAUGGAACUUUUAAAAAUAAUCUAAAAAGAAUAAAGUUAUCUUUAUUUUUUUAUAAUAUUGGAAAAAAUGAUAAAAAGAAAAGAAAAGAAAACUAUCGUACAUUUGAGAGAUCAAUAUAUUUAUUUUUCUAAUUUCUUUAAAAGAAAAAACUUCUUUGAAUUCGAGAUAUCAAGAAGGAAAAAAAAAUUCUUAUCCUUACAAGAGAAAGGAAAUAGAAAAGUCUACAACUUAAAAGUUGAUCAAAGAUUUCCUCCCAAAAUCCCCACCCAAACAACACCUGACGAAAAAAGUUGCAGCGGUCUCCACACUCCACUUGACCACUCCCUUCCCUACAACUAGAAGCAAAUCCAUUCCUCUCGGUUUCCUUCCAUUUCCCUCCUCUCAUUUCCGUUACUUUCCUUUCUUCUCUUCACUCUUAAUCACCUUCCCGUUCCGCCCCUGAAUGCAUAACUACAUCGUAACUCUCAAAUCUCCACUCCCUUACCAUGCACCUUCUUCCCACCCUAUCUUUUCUCUCCGUCUUAACCCUAGACAGUUUGUCCUCCCUUUAUCCCCUAAAAAAACUGGAGGAUCCAUCUACCACAACCCCGUUUUCAUCUGUAAAGGAACCCAACUAUCCGUCCCCAGUCAUGGCUCUGCUUCGCUUGGACCUUCAAACGGGAACGGUGCUGCCGUUCACGACUGGAAAGUGAGGAGUGUUGGUAUCGAAAACAUUGAUGUUGCCACCCUGGGAAAUCUCUGUGUUGAUAUUGUUCUUAAUGUUCCGAAAUUGCCCCCUCGUUCUCGUGAGGCUCGUUUUGCUUAUAUGCAAGAGCUGUCCAAAUCCCCACCUGAUAAGGUUUGCUCUUCUCUUAACUGAUUUCAAUUGUUUAAAUUUUUGAAAUUAUUAGUAACGAAGAUAAAUUACAUUGAAAAAUAUGAAAUUGGAGUGUUGUAUUUAUGACCCUGUUGUUAAUAUUGGCUUUUAAUUUGAAUUUUUGAUUGAUUAUUAUGGUUUUAGCAGAAAUUUAAUCAGUAUAAUUGAAAAUCUAUGAAGUUUAAUUCUCGCAUCAGGGACCCUUUUAUUUGUUUUAGCUGUUCAUCCGUUUUUGGAUUGGUUUUUAUGUGAUUUUUGCAAGUUCAGAUGCUGAUGUUAGUAUUUAAUUUGUGGAGAUGGUUGGUGUAAAAAACAAAUGACAAGGAAAAUAAAUAAAGUUAUGUUUGUGUUGAUUAAUGUUAUUUUUGAAGAAUUUCAAUCGGUAUUUGACUCAUUAUCUUACUAAUAAAAGGCAAUUACAUUACUGACCACUUGUAUGUGUUGGUUGUUAGUUUGUUUUUAAAGUUAUUUGUGCGUGUUCCUUUUUGCAAGUAGAAAUACUGGGAAGCUGGAGGUAACUGCAAUAUGGCUAUAGCAGCUGCAAGAUUGGGACUUCAUUGCGCCACGAUUGGUCAUGUGGGUGAUGAAAUAUAUGGGCAAUUUUUGCUUGAUGUGCUUCGCGAGGAGGGGAUUAGUAUGGUUGGGAUGAGUGAAGAUGGUGAUAUUGUUGAUAGUUCUAAUGCUUCAUAUGAGACUCUUUUGUGUUGGGUUCUUGUUGACCCUUUGCAAAGACAUGGAUUUUGUAGGUAAAUGUUUUCCUGGACGUGUAGAAUUAGAUUACAAUAUUGAAAAAAAUAAAGAAAAAAGAAUUAGGUUGCUAUUAUCUUUUUGUGCUCAACAGGAUCAUCUUCAUGUGGCUUUUGUUGUUUUCAGUCGAGCAGAUUUCUGCAAGGACCCUGCAUUUAGCUGGAUGAGUAAAUUAUCAAAAGAAGUAAAGAUGGCUAUUAAACAGUCAAAGAUCCUGUUCUGUAAUGGUUAUGGAUUUGAUGAGCUUUCCCCAGCUCUGAUAAUGUUAGCUCUAGAUUAUGCUGUUGAAGUUGGAACAUCUGUUUUCUUUGAUCCUGGACCACGUGGAAAGAGUCUUUUGACUGGAACACCUGAAGAACGACAGGCUUUAAGCCAUUUGUUGAAGAUGAGUGAUGUUCUUCUUCUAACAUCUGAUGAGGUUUGACCAAGAACUUUCUUAGAAUGUUUUAAGAUUAGCUUCAGUUCUCAGCAAAGUGCAAUCACUUUAAUCUCCAAUCAAAAGUUCAAAACUAGUCCAAUAUUGAAAACAAUUCUGAAAGUAGUAAUAAUGACAAUAAUAAAUACAUAAGAUAAGAUUACCUUGUGUUUUUAUUUAUAUCCCUUGCAUACUGUGAUUGGCACAUGUGUAUACCUAGAGUUUACAAAAUAAUAGAGAGUUUUGUCGAGCAUGAAAAAUUUGGAAAGACAAUUUUUUAGAAUAUUCUUUUGAUGUCUAACAUUUAACUUAAAUAUGAAAUGCUGUAUAGAGAUUAAUUCAGAGUUGUGGAUGAGUUAGUCUGGAUCUUGCAAUGAAACUAUGGUCAAUGUGUAAACUAUUCUUCAAAAAAUUUCAUUUGUUGAAGUAUAAACUGAUUGUUAAAUGAGUUAGUUUUAUUAAGCACUUUCCAUCUGUCCCUAUAAGUGUUUGAAGUUCAAUGCUAACAUAGAUUCUUACUGCGUGAUUGUCAUCUAUAACUUUCGCCUUGUUCUUUGGAUAUGCUGUCAAUUACAGAUUGCCGCUUACUUCUAUAGAACCAAUAAGUACUGAAAUCCUUCAUGGCCCAUGAAUACUACUUGUUAAUGGAUACACAACAUGGCUACAAAGCUCCAAACAGCAUCAUCGAUGUGUUUUAUCCACGAAUUAGAAUAUUAGUUUUAGAUUUUUCCUUGGCCAUUAUACGCUAGGAGUUCUUUCUUUUUUGGUUUGUCUUGGAGCUUUUUAUGGCUGUUACAAGUAGUUUGUUACACAUCACUUGUAUAGCAAUUAACUUGUCUUUCAUUUGUGCUCUGAGUUUGAAUUCUUUAAGCUGUUUGCAUGGUGCUGUUCUGAUUUAGUUCGCAUACAUUAAUUAUCUGACAGGCUGAGUCAUUGACUGGAAUAGGAAACCCAAUAAUGGCAGGGCAAGAAUUGCUUAAAAAUGGGAUACGCACAAAAUGGGUGAUCAUUAAAAUGGGUUCGAGGGGCUCGAUUCUAGUUACCAUGUCAAGUAUAUCCUGUGCACCUGCAUUCAAGGUAUGAUAUUCCUGCCCUUUUCAUAGAGUCAUUUGAAGGUGCGACUCUAUUGUAUUUCCUUGAAACCAUGCGCCUUUAUUCUCCCGUAGAAUGCCUUAGUUUUAGGAUGUUUUAGUGCAUCAAAUUUGAACAUGUUCACUGUUAAUUUCCACCAUUUACUGCCUCAUUUUGCUUGCUGGACAUUGCCAAAGCCUUUCGGCUUUCAAAACCUGAGAGGAAGCGAAACCAAGAGCAUGGCAAGUAGUAAAGAGUCUUUUUUCUGAUCAUCUUUGAUUUUUCUUUUUCUUUUUUUAAUUUAGGCCAUGUAAGUUUUGCUUUUAUACACUUGUGAAUAAUUCAUCCUCAAGCUUCCCAUAGCUAAGCUCUUGUUUCUACCCAUAUAUCUUGAAAAGUGGAAAAUAAGAUUUUGAUUGAUAUUCUUAGUGGACACUGGACAGUCCAAUAUUUUGUCAAACUAUUUUUCCCAUUACAUGUCCUAAAAAGUGGAAAGUAAAAUUUUGAUUGGUAUUCUAAAAUGUGAUCAGGUGAAUGUCAUUGACACUGUUGGAUGUGGAGAUAGUUUCGUUGCUGCUAUUGCAUUUGGUUAUAUCCAUAAUAUACCAUUGGUAAAUACAUUAGCAAUUGCAAAUGCAGUAGGUGCUGCAACUGCCAUGGGCUGUGGCGCUGGUCGUAAUGUGGCUAGCUUGGAGAAAGUAAUUGAACUCAUGAGAGCAUCAAAUAUCAACGAGGAUGAUGAAUUCUGGAAUGAACUAGUAAAAGAUAUGGAUAAUGGAGAAAUCACGUUUCUGUCAAAAAUGGUCAUAAAUGGAAGGAACAAUCAAGUAAACCAUGUCGCUCUACAAAAAGUGGUUUCUGAACUGCUCCCAAAGCUCAAAGAUAAUAGGUUAGAGGGAAAAGUGGCUUCUUGAUGGAUACAGUAGAAUGCAGGUAUCACUUGAUGGAUGCAAUAGAAUGCAGGUGUUUAGAAUCAAUUUGAUUUUUGAGGUACUAAUUAAUUUUGUUGGUUUAGUGUGCUCAAUUUCACUGGCAGUUCUGCUUGCCAUGUAAUCGAUUGCCAUAAGUAAUACACCAGAGUUCAUCUUUUGUGGAACAAGGAUGAGAUACUUGCCAAGAAAAGUUCCUUUCCAAACAAAGAAUCAGCAGAAGUCACAUUUUUCCUCUUCUGGAUCAUUAAACAUGAUGGUUGCGCGUUGACAUCCCAGAGAGUUGCGCUUUUGAACCAGGUUUCUCCGAACAACUUUUCUUGCAAUCCUAUGCUCAUGAAGAUGUUCCAAUUCUUUGCACCAUUACAACAUGAUUACUUCUGUAGCAGGUAUUAUAAUAUGAUUUUUGUUCUCUAUAAAAGAGAUUGAUUUCUCUUGCACCAUAUUAAGUUUUUGUUAGCGCCAAGAAAACACUAAGCUCCUGUGAUUGCAAAUUGUUGAAGUUGCGUGCCAAGUCUAUAAUGAAAUGAAAUGAUUUCAGGAAAAAGGUCCGAGCAUUAGCAUAUUUUCUUGCAUGCUUAGUAACUGAGGGUGAGUUCCAUGAGGAUGUGGCCUGUGGAUGAUAAUAAAGUGAUCUAUGUAUGUAAUGAUAGUAUGUAGAGGAGCAUUAGUAUAAUGAGUGAGGAACCCCGUGCAGGAUUACCAGUUUCCAUAAGACCCCACCUUUUUUAGCUUCUUGCCAUGCCGAUUUGACACUAUAAUUAUUCAGCAUUUAUACGAAGCCGCCAUUGCCAGUAACUCGUAUUUGGAACUUAUUUUUUACGUGUCAUAAAUUAUAAUCAUGAUUUACAAUAUAAAGAUCGUAUAAGAAAAUCGGUGAUUGGGAUCAGGAGCUGCAAUGGGCAAAAAUUCACCUGCAGAAGAAAACUUGUCUCUCCAUUUUGCUUAGGCUCUCUUGGCCCUCCUAUGUUUACCAUGUUUUCAGGGCAACUGGAAGUGUAGUCACUUCUAAAUGCUCUGUUGUUAAUUAGUGUCUAUUCGUUUUAAAGCUUUAAUUUUGCUGCUUCUGCCAGACCUGGAGAGUACUACAGCGUUUUUUACUUGAAUUUUUUCAUAUUUUUUCUGCCAGACCUUGUUAUUUCUCAUCUUGGACUGCGUUCUUUUACGCACCCUUCUUGCCCUGUGGCGCAUUUUGUUUCUGUGGUGAAAAAAUAUUUUUAAAAAAUUAUUAUUUUUUAUGUUUUUAGAUUAUUUUUAUAUUAAAAUUAAAUUUAAAAAAUAAAAAUAUGUAUUAUUUUAAUAUAUUUUGCAAUAAAUAUUUUAAAAAGCAUAUCAUAGUAUAAACUCAACCGUUUUGGAAAGUGAAAAUAUCGUUUUUUGUGUUUUUUUUUUUCAAUCACAAUUUAGAAAGGAAUUUCGCCAUGAUGCUGCUCCUGCUCUGCAUUUCUACAUGGCUGCAUCACCUUCACCAAUCAAAUUGAUGGGAUGGGAUUUGAAAUUCAGUUAAUUAGAUUUUUUGGGCCCCUAAUCCGAGGACUUCUACCUCGUUGCAUUCAUUUUGUAAUAAUCUCUUUUUACUCGUGUAUAAUUUCUUUUACUUGGUUUGAGAAUUGAGAGUUACUGAUCAUCUUUUUCUAGUUUUUUUUAAAAAAAACAAAAUUAUUUUUCAAAUUGAUUGAUGCCACGGGUAGAAUGGAAUCAAUCAUUACACAGAGCGACGAAAGGAAAGCCCUGGUCUCAUCUUUUUAUCCCACUAGAGAAUCGAAGCUCACCUUACUUGAUUUACGGCCUACUGAAUCUAAAAAACCAUUCCAAAAUUGAUUCAAAAAAGCUAGAAAAACUUAAAAAUAUAUUUAAGGAGCAUGAACUUGAUUAUGGUAACCAAGCCCAAUUUUUUAAAAAGCAUUAGCUCAGACAAGGAGCUCAAUUCCAUCUCUCAAAGGUGGAGGUUUGGACAAGAUCUGAAUCCAUGCAACCAGCAUAGGCAGGGCAUGCCCCAACUGGUGUUGGGCAUGUGCCCACCACCUGGUUGGGCGUAGCACGCAAGGUGCUGGGCAUGUAUCCUAGUAUUUUUUUGGAUUUAGAUACGUAUUCUAAGCUAAAUAUGCUUGAGUUCAAAUAGCACAUAUCGUAAUCUACUUUUUAUUUUUAACGAGUUCGAGCACCUUGCUCGAGUCCAACACUUACUAGAAGGUUUUUUGAGAUCUCAUACAAGUUCUUCAAUAUUUUUCACUGAUUUUAUAUGUAUUAUUUUAAGUAUAAUACAAUUCAAAAUAUUAUAAUGUUGGAAUUACAUUCCAACCAUUUAUAUCAAUAAAAAAACAAGAUUCAUGAGUUAUAAAUAUAUCAUGAAUCUUUCAAACUCAAAGGUUACAGUCUUUUUAUUCUUAACAUUUUCAGCAUAUAUAUUUUUAGAUUCUAUCUUUUUAAAAUAUCAUCAUACUUUCUCUUUCUAUAAAGUUACUUUGUCAUCGAAAAGUCUUCACAUUCAUUAAAAAAAAACUUUCUGUAGAUGCUAACCAGACACCACCUGCUACUAUUAAUCACCUAAGUUUUUCAUGUCAAGACAAUAUAUCAACGUUAUUUCUAAGCAUUUUAGAUUUUCUUAACCAUUAGUUUUAUUUCCGAGCAAUCUAUAUUUUGGGACUCACCACAACCAAAACCUCGACUAAGAUUUAUAUUUUGUUUACCAGGAAAAACAAAAUGUGAAAGCACAUGGAUUAAGAGCAACGCAGACAUUUUUGAACCCUCCAAGCCAGCAUGUAGAAACUAUAUAUAUAUAUAUAUAUAUGUAAACACACACGAUUUUCAUAAUUAAGAGUCACAGCUUGGUAAAGUAACAUUCAAGUCAAAUAACUCAAGCUCCUGCAGGCAUAAUUUUACCUAGUAAUCCUUCCAUUUAGGUGCCAGCUGCAUGUGCUUGGACUUUUCUCUUGAUGAGUGAUUUUCCCCCCCUUAUGGAUCUAAUUAUGAGAUCAAAGCUUACAACAUGAGACUUCACCCCAAAUAGAAAACAAUGUUGCUGACAAAUCUCCGACUAAAAAACUGCCCAUCUCUCGGUUUGAGACAAAAUAUUAAAGUAAAAAGCUCGAAGCCUAACACCAGAUUAUUUGACUGUUCAAACGAUAUUGUCAAGUGCGUGUGUGAAUGUGUUCAUAUUGGCGUAUCCAAUACAUAUAGCUGCCGCUUGCCGCUGCGCAAAUUGGAAAAUGGAAACCGUGGCAAAUAUCCAAAGCAGCUUCGGUUCUAGAUGAUGCCAUGUAUCUAUAAUAUCUCAUGUGUACGGUCACAUCGCCAUACUUUACAGAACUCAAUGCUUUGAACUCGUAAAUUACGAUUUGCUGACAAACCAGACAGGGUAUGAGUCGCUAACGUUGAAUUUCCAAUCACAUUCAAGCUUAACAAACAAAAAGACAGGCAGAUGUCUUGACUUGUGAGCUGGGCUUUCUAAAGAAAGCAAUUGAAGAGGAAGACCUGGCCUUUUGUGUUGUCUUGGGCUACUCUGCUUGCUGUCUGUUGUUUUGUUUCGAACCUGUACUGUAUUCCACACUUUGUUAGAGAUGGUUUGCUCAUUUCUCGAAGUUCUAUCAAAACAAGCAGCUCAUGGCUUGAAAAACACAUCAACAACAAAAUCAUGACCUCUGCUCCAAUGAGUUCCUUGUUGAAACAACGCACUUAAACAGCAAUUUGCAACAACUGGCUGUUUUGUGCUAAAUCCAGAUCUUUGUAAGCAACAAGAAACCUAUCUGUGCAGAGGGACCUACUCAUUAGAUGUACUUCUCGUGAAUUAUUUCACAAUAAUUAUUGCUGGCCUAAGCAUUGCGACACCCUACCGAGUAAAAGGGAAAGAUGCCUACCCCGCUUUCAACAGGCACCAUUGCAGAAAUGUUCUCAAUUGUGAACAAGAAAUACAUGACACCUUACCUUUUGAGAACAUGAAUGCUUGAAAUGUAGAAACAGAAGUCUAUUACAAAAAGAGGCUUUGACUUUUUUACGUAAUUAAUCUGUACAGAGCCAAUGAUUCCCUUUGCUUUUUUAUUAGCUCUCACUCUAAUGUGUUUUAGGGCGAUAGAUUUAUCAAUCAAUUGUCGUUUAAAGCUACAUUAUUAUCAACUUUAUUACUCUGUCAUCAUUUCCAGCAAUAAGGGGCCCCAAAAGGCCUAUUUUGACUCCACAUUUUGCAUCUAAGACUGUAUGUUUUUCUUCGUGAUAGAUAGAUUUAUGGGCCAAGAAUCGUUUGGCUGUAUCUAGGAGGUGUCUCUUAUUGAUGCUGAAUUCUAUGAUGGAACUACCCAAGGACGACUACUGUCCACAGGAAAAUAGGGUAGGGUACCUUAGCUGGAUCUCAUAAUUGUUACUAACUUGUCCGGCUUUGCUACAUGAUCUCUAGCUACUUAAAAGUGGGAUCGAACAUGAGAUACAGGGAUUUUUAUAUGCUUUAACUGUGAACAGGACAUGUUAUCUACCGAAAUGUGAUGAACCGCAAAAUAUCGAUGACACUUGAAAGAAACUAGGAGCAUAUCACCAAUGCAUUUUGUGUGUGGACACAACUUGGCUUGCCAUUAUCUGCUUUAAAGAUUAGCAUUAGCCUUUCACAGUCUGGCGCCAGCAACAUAAGGUUGAUUGAAUGAAUUCAGCUUUUGGAAUAAAGGAAGAUUUGCUGAAAAGAAUUGCUUUGAUAUCUAGUCCCAGAAACAAGAACUGAGGGGCCUUGUCCAACAUUUUCUUUUCUCAAACUGAGAUUACACACUUUGAUCACAUGUACAGGAUGCUGCUCAGUUCCCUUGUCAUAAAAAGAAGUGUUAUGAUAACUAGUUUGGCACCUCUUUUCUGCUUCAGAAGUAAUUAAAGCACCUCAGGCUUCCCAAAUUCAACAUUUUAGAGAAGACAAACAAAUUAAUUUCUGCAAAUUAAAGUCUAACUUGAUCAAUUACCGAUCGAUGAAGCUCAGGUCUUUUUUUUUUUUUUGUGUGGAAUCAAGUUAAAGUUUACCAGUCAAUACUUCAUGUUCUAAGAAUCAUUCCUUGAUUCCUUUGCGUAUAUCGUAGGUAACUGAUGAUGAAAUAUAUGCUCCCAGCUCUAGCAAUAUGCUCUGAAAGUUCAAUUAUUCAAAGUAAUAUGCUAAAUAGACUGCUUUAUUUGGCAACAAAAUUCAAGCUGUCGGUUAACAUUGGGUUUUAUCUUUACUCGUCACUUUAUAAAAAGCAACUUUACCUGCAGCUACCUUGGGAGAAUUUCAAACCUGCUAGUCUUUUACAUAUUCAUGGAUUAAUUAGUCAUAUGCAUAUAUAGCCCUUUAUGCAACAAAUUAAUUAGUGAAUGAUCAGUACUGUGAUUUAACUAGCCAGUGACUUGGUUUUCCACUUUCUUUUGUCCAUUUCUCUUUCUUCUUCUUCUUUUUUUUUUGUUGACCAAAGAUUACAUCUUUAAGCAGUUCAGGCCAAUCCGUGUUGGACUUGGGACUUAAGCAUGGCAUCGUACAAGCUCCAUAUGCCAUCAUUUAUGAAGGUUCUCCACCUCCCACCUUCCCUUUACCUUAGUGGCAAGCAAAAGACAUGUUCCUUACUUGGCAUGAACACAAGGGUCAAGGUCUUGCAAGCAAGACUCUCUAAGACUAACCAGCUCCAUUAAUCACGGAUAUCUAACUAAAAUCAUGUUUUUUUUAGCAGGUACAUGGCUGCGAAGUACAGUUCGAUUAUAUGAGAAAAAUGUCCCUUGCGUAUUAAUGAACAUUAAACAACACGAGUCCUUCUAUGGUGCCUUGUUUUUUUUCUUUUUUCUUUUUUCGGCUGCAGGUGACUCUGGUUAAAAUUAAAGGCACUGUCUUUUGCGUGUAUUAAAUGUUCUGGACUAUGACCAAAUCUAUUUCGAGAAAUCAGUGCACAGUAAGUACCAUUGGAAAAAUGACAUCAAUUUCGUUGUAGGAUUUUCCUAAGCUGACAAUCCUUGAUGAUCCGAUGUUUUUAAUGGGAUAAGCUAGACGGUCAAAACGCUUUGUUUACUGAAUCGGUUUGAAAGGAAGCUGUUGAAUACAGAGACCCCAUAUUGGUGUCGGAACCCUAGAAGAGGCUGUUUGGGUUGACCUCAUCAUCGAAUGCACACACUUAUUGUUAAGACAAACAAAUAUUAAUUAUCAUGUUUGAGAAAAAAAGAGUAGUUAAAGUUAACUCAUUUCUGCCCAAAAACACGUUUACCUAUGUGUGAAAAGCUUGGUUAGGGGUAGUGUAGAAAGUGGAUUCCAACUCCAUGUCAUGUGACAAGCUCGAAUAUCUUUAUCAUCCCUACGUAUAUAAGGACCCCAUGAAAAAAAAUAAUGCAUGGCCAAAUCAGAAACUCCAUGAUUUGUCUCUCUCCCCUCCCUCCCCCCAUCUCUCCCUCUCGCGUAUUAACUGUUGAGGGGAUUGUCGUCUGGUUCGAUGUCAUUCAUGAGAAGCUCAAACAUAAACGUAAUAUUGAAUGAUUUCGGACCAGGCUUCAUUCCCCCCAACAAUGUUUGAUUAGCGUUCACAGAAUGGAUUUAGGUUUUUUAUGCAAAGCACGCAUGAUGGUCUUCCUGUCUUUGAUCUCUCCGGUCCUUUGUAAUUGAUUUCUUAUCAUGUUUUUCCUCGACUGAGCAUAUAUUUUAUGUAACAGGGUUUAAUUCAAUCUUCUCCAUGGUAGUCCUCGGUUAGAUUCAGAUAAGGGAUCCUGCAAGUAAAUUAAGGUUGGUGUUUUAUUGUCUCGAUAAUAGUAUUUAAUUUUGCACGAACUAUUUUUGUGAUUUUCUUUUCCUCCGAUGAAGAGACACACCUCAAUGCUAAUUCAGCAAUCAGAGACGGCAGUGCUUGGUAUGAUUUCAGUUCCAAUUAAUCUCUUGUUCAUGUCUCAACAAUAUGAUUGUAUCUUAGAGAAUAUUUUCUCUGUGUAUGCGAUAUAUAUUCAGGAACCAGGGGAGCAAGAAGAAGAAAGUAUCCAAAUUUAGUUUCCAAGCUUGGCUUUUUAAGUGUUUUUGCCUCGUUUAGUUUCAUAUGAUCUUCAGCGGUAUCACCAUUAACUUCUCAUUUGUACCAGGUGGGUCAGAUAUAUUAACUCUUGUGGGUCAACUUUAAUAAAUAAAAUUAGAACUACCAUAACUGGGAUCAGAUUUACAUGUGAAGCUCAUUAUUUCUGGGGGGUCAGAUUUGUUUGAUGUUGUUGUCAUGUACAUGUAUAUAUGUGUGUGUUUGUGAAGAGCAACUGCAGCUUCAUGUAAGGAUUGGCAAUGGAUAUCCAUUUCAAUGUGUAUAUCUUAUCUAUCAAUAUCAAUAUUUGGAUCUGGCAAUAUUCAUUACGGAUCGGAUCGGACCAGAUCGGAUUGGUUCGGACAAUAUUCAUCGAGUUGGGAUAAGAUUAUACUAUCCCUAACUCCAUGGGCGCUUUAAUCAAGAGGAUUGUAAGGCAAAAGAAUCAAAUCAUGUAUAAAGUCUAAAAAUUUAUUAGGGAAGGUGAACAAGCAGUUGUAUUGUACUGCUAAUUAAUUACAUGAUAUCACGAUAUAAUUGAUGAUUAAUGAGUUCAGCUUGGUAUCCAUGCUCUGAUCCUCUUCUAAAGCUCACAUGUUAAUUCGAGGCCCUUCUUUAUAGGGAAAAAGAAGACGAAUCAUGAUUUGACGAUAAUAUCAUGUUUGUUAGUGUAGAAAUAACAUCUUUUGUUGGGAUUCUCAUGUUGAAAGCAGAAAAAAAUUGAAAUUGAAAGAUUCGAAGCAAUCGAAGAACUGCUUGGUGCGAUGUGAAAGGGAUGGAAAAGGGAGAUGAAAGGGGAAAAAAGUUCAAUUAGUUGAUGAUAACCUGUAGAGAAUCUGCUCUGCUUAUGCGCUACGUACCAAAAUUGUGAUGCAACUCCUUUUCCAUGCAUCAAUAUUGAAGGGCUCCUACUUGCUUAAAGUCUAGGGUUAGGGUUACCAAAGAACAAAAAUUUAUCUCUUUACCUUUCCUUUAUUAUUAUUAUUAUUAUUAUCGUCCCUGUAACAUUUUUCUCCAACUAAUUUUUUCCAAAAAUUUCUUCGCAUGUUCCAUAGGAUGGCCGAGAUGGGUUGGAGUUGAGAAAUCAUGGCAAAGCACCCCAUCUUUUAAACGAGUACAAGGCAGGGAUGGAGAGAAAUUUGAGAAUAUAUAUUGCAUCUUGAAGUCAUUAAUUAAGUAGACAAGCAAAAAAACAAAAUACAAUGAUUUAGAUUUAAUAAAUAUAUGAUGGUUAUUUUUUUCUCAUG